AUUAAAAUACUAAUGAUUCGUGCAAUACAAUAUUGAAAUAUUCUCCGACGUAAGAGCAAUAAGCCAAAGUGGAGCUUAACAAAGAGAGAGAUUUGCAUGUGACGUUCAUAAUUAAUUCGACUAACGAGCAUUUUUUUCAUUAACGGCAUGAAAACGCGCUGAAUAUCGCCGUCAGUAGAUACGCAGCGCGUUCGCCUUUCGAACGCAGAUAUUAUCGCCAUAAUGUCAUCGCAGACCCCGGUAACUCUUAAUAAUCGUAUAGCGUUAAGCGUUUCCUUCCUCCUCGGGAAAUAUUUAAUGCCGUCGUAUUUAACGGGAUGUGCGUUGCGGGGCGCCGAGGCGAGCUUUUUACCGUGCCGGCGAUGCGCCCGGCCGCGAAUAAAUUCGAACCUUUCCGCGGCUGCUCGAGCCGACGACGACGCGACGGUCGGCUUCGAAUUUGGUUUGCUAAUUUCGUCGGCCACGGGCUGCAGAAAAGAUGCACCGUGAUGCACUGUGAGAAAUAUCCUCGUAUGUGCGUGUGUGUGUUUGUGUUAGUGUCGUACACGUAUCGCUCGAUGGGGAUAUGCGGUAUUGCUGCCGGAGAAGCGAUGCACUCUUGUGUCUGCCGCCGCUUGGCAGAUCCGCCAACUACCACCCGCGACCCGCCGUUUCCGCCACUGUCAAGAGAAUCCAUAAAUCUGUCGUCGCGCUUGCCUAGCUCGCGAAUCAGGGGCGAACGGGGAAAAAGAAGAUAUCUGUGAAAACGAAUAGUAUGACGCAAAAUGGAAUUGAGAGAAGGAUGACGUUGGUGCGGGAGGAAGAGGGCGAUGAUAUAGCAGCGAGUAGAAAAACAGGAAGCUGGGUGCAGAGGCCAUAGAAUUGUCCAUGCAGCGAUGUUUAUGCGCUCCGUGGUGCUUGGACCAUGACGGUGUAAUUACAUCACCAAGCAGGUUUCGCCGAGAUCCAAUCGUACGACUACGUAGCGGCACAACUGGAUAAUACUGAUCAAAUACUGAUACCAGCUAUCCAUGCAAGUAUCACAGCCAUCAUACCGAUAAUCCCUUUGUUUGUUAUAAACAAUAGUAGUAAUCCUAUUCCGCAGGCGGCCCGUACAGGUAUUUAAUCGCAUCGCAAAUAUUGUGAUUUAACAGCUAUUUGUAAAUUGUAAUAGUGUUGUAAAUCUAAGCGUACAAUAAUAUUGUAUUUUAUAAUACAAAAUGAUUUGCCCGGAGGCACUGUCUAUUGAUUAGUUAUUAGAGUUAUUACCAAUUAAUCGUUCGUGAUAUGACAUUCAUUUUGCGCGCGAGAUCAAGCUCGCAAUAUCGCUGUGACAGCACGUGCGAUAGGUGCGAAGCAAUUAUAAUGGGUACAGGGAAAUUGUGCGCUGCGCGCACUGACAUGGGAAUGACGCAACGUGACGUUGAAUCGAGUCGAUCUCUACCCAUCAAAAUCUCACCGAGAAUUUCAGCAUAGAUUCAAUCGUACAAUAACGGAAUUAACGCGAGGUAACUGGUUUGGUUACUUGUUUUAAAUAAUAAAACCCAUGAAAUUAACUCGUGCCUCAAUAUGUAAAUAUUGGCUAAAGCGUUAAAGUCUCGUGGCAGAAAAAACAAGAUAUCAAUAAGCGAUAGAAGAAUCAAGGGAACACGAUUCACGUCCACUACAACUAUUUACUGUAUACGCGCGGCUCGGAAAAAUCCCCGCAGAAAUGAGAGAGAGUCGCUUUCGCGACGAUUCGAGUAAGUGAUAUCUAAGCGAGCGUUAAGCGUGCUCGGCGGAGGAAGAAAUAUGCGUUAAGGAACGGGGGGGACGUCAUUCUCGAAUACGCGCCGGGCUGGCGGAAGACGCGGAGAAGAGAGCGUGAAAAGGGGGUGGCGGACGCGCCGCCGGCCAGGGGAAAUAUAAAUCAGGAAUUAUAAAGCAAUUUCGCGGAAACCGCAACAAAACUCGCUGGAGUAAGUUCCAGUCGUUCUCCCCAGACGUUGUGUGGGUGAGAGAGAAGACCGCGGGGGUUGACGCUGGCGUGCGUUUGCUUUCAGUAAGCCGUUACAAACGAUGGUGUGCGCCUGCUUAAUCGCGCAUUACUCUUUUCUUGUCGGCUUGCAUGCGUUUCUUGCACGUUGCGCUCCCGCUUCUUCCCCCACGUGGUUUCGAUUGUUCUUUGAUGAACGCGAUUUCUUUCCAGCCGGAAAGUCGUUUACUACUUCAUCGUUACCGUGAUUUCACUGUCGCUCCCCCGUCGUAUAAAUUAAGCGGAAUUAAGGAUCAAUUAGGAGUAAGUUAGGCAGUCAUUAAGAACUCAUUUUCAGACGGUUAGCUUAUUUCACGAAAACCGCAACAAAACUCCGCGGUUAAUAAGCUUCGCAGUCGAAUGAAAUGUAUGAAAUUAUAUCUGCGUUAUCGCAAUACAUUUCAGCGAAUUAAUGAUGGCAGCGAUUAUAGUACCGACAGUUAAAUAACUUUAUCACGCAGGAUUAACUGACUAUAAGUAAUUGUAGACAUUGAUAAAUCGAUGCAACUAAAACCAUGUUGUGCAUAAUUCAUGCGCGUGUUAUUGCGCGCGGAAGAUACGCAACAAAAAUAGCACAGGUUUACCACACAGAAUUAAUACCAAAUUUCGCCAAAAUUGCUAAAGUUACUAAAAUAAAAUAACGGCAAACAAGAUUAGUUAUUAAGGUGAAGCUGACGUCGUUAAUCUUACCGAUUAAAUGUGACUUACGCAUAUAAUUUAUCAUACACACAUACGAUUUACGAAACAGAUCUCUACAUAUACUAUUUCAUCGAAAUCUCGCGUACACAAAUGGUACAACAUUAUAUUCUGUUAAAUUAGACUUCUAAAGUUUAUAAUAAUUCCAUCAAUACAACAUUAUUUAUUUAUUUUA